CAGCCGCCGCGGUAAUACGUAGGUGGCAAGCGUUGUCCGGAAUUAUUGGGCGUAAAGGGCUCGCAGGCGGUUUCUUAAGUCUGAUGUGAAAGCCCCCGGCUCAACCGGGGAGGGUCAUUGGAAACUGGGAAACUUGAGUGCAGAAGAGGAGAGUGGAAUUCCACGUGUAGCGGUGAAAUGCGUAGAGAUGUGGAGGAACACCAGUGGCGAAGGCGACUCUCUGGUCUGUAACUGACGCUGAGGCACGAAAGCGUGGGGAGCAAACAGGAUUAGAUACCCGAGUAGUCCCUGUCUCUUAUAC
rnacentral:rRNA from 1 species